rnacentral:rRNA from 1 species
UGGGGGAUAUUGCACAAUGGGGGGAACCCUGAUGCAGCGACGCCGCGUGAGCGAAGGAGUGCUUCGGUAUGUAAAGCUCUGUCAGCAGGGAAGAAGAAGGACGGUACCUGACCAAGAAGCCCCGGCUAACUACGUGCCAGCAGCCGCGGUAAUACGUAGGGGGCGAGCGUUAUCCGGAUUCACUGGGUGUAAAGGGAGCGCAGGCGGUGCGCCGAGUCCGGUGUGAAAGCCCGGGGCCCAACCCCGGGACUGCACUGGAGACUGGCGUGCUGGAGUGCCGGAGGGGUGGGCGGAAUUCCUAGUGUAGCGGUGAAAUGCGUAGAUAUUAGGAGGAACACCGGUGGCGAAGGCGGCCCACUGGACGGUGACUGACGCUGAGGCUCGAAAGCGUGGGGAGCAAACAGG